UAAUGUUAUUUUGGCAGAUUAGUGCUAUUAAAUUUAGAAUUUAAUUAUGUAAAAUUUUACAAAUAAUACU
rnacentral:tRNA from 1 species